rnacentral:rRNA from 1 species
AUUGAACGCUGGCGGCGGGCCUAACACAUGCAAGUCGAACGAGUGGCGGACGGGUGAGUAAUGUUUGGGAAACUGCCCGAUGGAGGGGGAUCACUACUGGAAACGGUAGCUAAUACCGCAUACCAUCGGAUGUGCCCAGGUGGGAUUAGCUAGUUGGUGGGGUAACGGCUCACCUAGGCGACGAGCCCUAGCUGGUCUGAGAGGAGGACCAGCCACACUGGAACUGAGACACGGUCCAGACUCCUACGGGAGGCAGCAGUGGGGAAUAUUGCACAAUGGGGGCAAGCCUGAUGCAGCCAUGCCGCGUGUAGGAAGAAGGCCUUCGGGUUGGAAAGUACUUUCAGCGAGGAGGCGUUACUCGCAGAAGAAGCACCGGCUAACUCCGUGCCAGCAGCCGCGGUAAUAC